CUAGUCUAAUAGUUUGUGAUGUUGCCCUUCACUACAAUAUAACAGGGCUCAACUCUAACUUUCCACCUUACAAACCAGAUCGAUAAAACUGACCGUUUCAGUAAUUGCUACAUAGCUUGACUAUCUUUUCAUUUCUUUAUGCCGCAUUUAAGCUUUAGUUGAUCCAUUUUUAUCAACUUCUUUUGCACUAAUACAAUUUUUGAUCCCAUUCUUCCCCGUUACUUUUGUUCUUUCGUGUGUGCGUCGUGUAUUUUUCCUUUAUUAUCAACUUACUCACGUUUUUUGUUUCCUAAAAGAAGAGGAACAGUGAUUGUAAAGGACAGUAACAAAUCCGACUGGUUGUACGUCAUUGUCUCGGGAGUAUACCAGGUUCUUCUGAGACUUGAAAUAUCUAAACCAAAGUUGUGCGGAAAAAAGCACUAUCGAUACAGCGAAGAUGUAACCGCAGCAGAAAAAUUGGCGCAUUUAACAGACGAACGUCACAGGAAAACCAAUUACUCCGCUUCCAGAUUAAAACGGAUGCCAAGGAACAUGAACAAAUUAGCUUACUCACGAUACCACGUGGAAGAACGUCGCACAAAAUCCCUUCCACCUGUGUUCCCCGUCACUGAAGUUCUGUCCACCAAUCACAAUUAACUAAGAAAACAAACAGCUUUUGUGCAGUUGGGUCUCGUUCAUCCCAAGAGUGUAUUUGUGAGUACUGUAGUUUCCAAAUUGCCGACCGUUGAUUCCUUCCUAUAUAAGUCUUCUCUUCUUUCAGGAAAUUUGUGCCUGUCAUACGUACGGAGCUACGUAAUAAUUAUACACUUUCAUCUCGCCAGGCGCUCGACGAGCCCACCUACUUCUUCAUGUGCGAAAUUUACCUCGAUAGUCAUAGACGAUAAUAAUCGCGUCGGGAAAGUACUUCGGUGGAUGGCUUAGUUCACGCAGUCUGACCUCUUAUUUUGUGGUGCAUAACCCUGUGGUUUCGCCACCUGAACUUGAAAAAGGAAAGACAGAUAGAUAGAUAGUUUUAUUAGGAAGUAAAAUCAUUGCAGCUCCCGGGCCGGCUGAAAUACGACUU